AUUGGUGUUAGUGGAAUCCUUUGGAAAGAGGAGCGAUACAGGGUGAUAGCCCCGUACACGACAAUGCCUUUGCAGUGAAAACGAGUAGGACGGGACACGUGGUAUCCUGUUUGAACAUGGGGGGACCAUCCUCCAAGGCUAAAUACUCCUGACUGACCGAUAGUGAACCAGUACCGUGAGGGAAAGGCGAAAAGAACCCCUGUAAGGGGAGUGAAAUAGAACCUGAAACCGUGUACGUACAAGCAGUAGGAGCGGACUUGUUCCGUGACUGCGUACCUUUUGUAUAAUGGGUCAGCGACUUACAUUCUGUAGCAAGGUUAACCGAAUAGGGGAGCCGUAGGGAAACCGAGUCUUAACUGGGCGUCUAGUUGCAGGGUGUAGACCCGAAACCGAGCGAUCUAUCCAUGAGCAGGUUGAAGAUUGAGUAACAUCAAUUGGAGGACCGAACCCACUAAUGUUGAAAAAUUAGGGGAUGACUUGUGGAUCGGAGUGAAAGGCUAAUCAAGCUCGGAGAUAUCUGGUUCUCCUCGAAAGCUAUUUAGGUAGCGCCUCGAGCGAAUACCAUUGGGGGUAGAGCACUGUUUGGGCUAGGGGGUCAUCCCGACUUACCAACCCCAUGCAAACUCCGAAUACCAAUGAGUACUACUCGGGAGACACACGGCGGGUGCUAACGUCCGUCGUGGAAAGGGAAACAACCCAGACCGCCAGCUAAGGUCCCAAAGUUAUGAUUAAGUGGAAAACGAUGUGGGAAGGCAUAGACAGCUAGGAGGUUGGCUUAGAAGCAGCCACCCUUUAAAGAAAGCGUAAUAGCUCACUAGUCGAGUCGGCCUGCGCGGAAGAUGUAACGGGGCUAAAUCAUACACCGAAGCUGCGGAUUUGUGUGCAUCACCAGAAGCUAUUGAUUAACGUCGACGCGCGAAGCGCCCGGCGGUAAAGCGUUCAAACAACAGUCGAUGUUGAGAGAAUAACAGUAGUUUGUGGGAUGCACACAAGUGGUAGAGGAGCGUUCUGUAAGCCGUUGAAGGUUGUCCGGGAGGAUGGCUGGAGGUAUCAGAAGUGCGAAUGCUGACAUGAGUAACGAUAAGGGGAGUGAAAAACUUCCCCGCCGAAAGACCAAGGGUUCCUAUCCCAUGCUAAUCAGGGUAGGGUAAGUCGGCCCCUAAGGCGAGGCUGAAAGGCGUAGUCGAUGGGAAACGGAUUAAUAUUUCCGUACCGGCAAUACUGCGAUGGGGGGACGGAGAAAGCUAGGCAAUCGCGGCGUUGGUAGUCCGCGUGAAAGUGCGUAGGUUGGUGGCUUAGGAAAAUCCGGGCUGCUAAGACUGAGACACGAGACGAGACUCUACGGAGUUGAAGUUGCUGACGCUAUGCUUCCAGGAAAAGCCUCUAAGCUUCAGGUAUUGACGACCGUACCCGAAACCGACACAGGUGGUCAGGUAGAGCAUACCAAGGCGCUUGAGAGAACUCUGCUGAAGGAACUAGGCAAAAUAGUACCGUAACUUCGGGAGAAGGUACGCUCUUGCUCGUGAAGCCCUAGCGGUGGAAGCGAACGAGAGUCGCAGUGACCAGCUGGCUGCAACUGUUUAUUAAAAACACAGCACUCUGCAAACACGAAAGUGGACGUAUAGGGUGUGACACCUGCCCGGUGCCGGAAGGUUAAUUGAUGGGGUUAGCGCAAGCGAAGCUCUUGAUCGAAGCCCCGGUAAACGGCGGCCGUAACUAUAACGGUCCUAAGGUAGCGAAAUUCCUUGUCGGGUAAGUUCCGACCUGCACGAAUGGUGUAAUGAUGGCCAGGCUGUCUCCAGCAGAGACUCAGUGAAAUUGAAAUUGCGGUGAAGAUGCCGUAUACCCGCGGCUAGACGGAAAGACCCCGUGAACCUUUACUAUAGCUUGGCACUGAACAUUGACCCUACAUGUGUAGGAUAGGUGGGAGGCUUUGAAG
rnacentral:rRNA from 1 species